rnacentral:rRNA from 1 species
ACCUACGGGGCGGCAGCAGUGGGGAAUAUUGCACAAUGGGCGAAAGCCUGAUGCAGCGACGCCGCGUGAAGGAUGAAGUAUUUCGGUAUGUAAACUUCUAUCAGCAGGGAAGAAAAUGACGGUACCUGACUAAGAAGCCCCGGCUAACUACGUGCCAGCAGCCGCGGUAAUACGUAGGGGGCAAGCGUUAUCCGGAUUUACUGGGUGCAAAGGGAGCGUAGACGGCAGUGCAAGUCUGAAGUGAAAGGCAAGGGCUCAACCCUUGGACUGCUUUGGAAACUGUGCUGCUCGAGUGUCGGAGAGGC